GGGCGUAUAGCUCAGUCGGUAGAGCGGCGGUCUCCAAAACCGUAGGUCGGGGGUUCGAGUCCUCCUGCGCCCGCCA
rnacentral:tRNA from 1 species